rnacentral:tRNA from 1 species
CGGAAAUAGCUCAGUUGGUAGAGCACAACCUUGCCAAGGUUGGGGUCGCGAGUUCGAGUCUCGUUUUCCGC